CGAACGGCAGGCACGGGAGCAAUCCGNGUGGCGAGUGGCGAACGGGUGAGUAAUAUAUCGGAACGUGCCCGGUCGUGGGGGAUAACGUAGCGAAAAGCUACGCUAAUACCGCAUACGAUCUACGGAUGAAAGCGGGGAUCGCAAGACCUCGCGCGAUUGGAGCGGCCGAUAUCAGAUUAGGGUAGUUGGUGAGGUAAAGGCUCACCAAGCCGACGAUCUGUAGCUGGUCUGAGAGGACGACCAGCCACACUGGGACUGAGACACGGCCCAGACUCCUACGGGAGGCAGCAGUGGGGAAUUUUGGACAAUGGGCGCAAGCCUGAUCCAGCAAUGCCGCGUGCAGGAUGAAGGCCUUCGGGUUGUAAACUGCUUUUGUACGGAACGAAACGGUGAGCUCUAAUACAGUUUGCUAAUGACGGUACCGUAAGAAUAAGCACCGGCUAACUACGUG
rnacentral:rRNA from 1 species